rnacentral:misc_RNA from 1 species
AAGUCGUAACAAGGUAACCGUAGGUGAACCUGCGGUUGGAUCAUUAAAAAAGGUUUGGUCUCGUGCCAAAUUAACAUCUGUGUGCACCAUAUCUGUCCUUGGCAGUUCGAGUGUCCUGGGUCGCGUAACUGCCUCAGGUACCUACCGAGGCUUUCCUCUCGGGGUUUGCCAAAGUUGGGCUGCCGCUUCUAGAACAAACCUUUUGUAAAUUAUUUUUGCCUGAAUUUGUUUGAUCUUUAUGAUUGAAUUUAAAUACAACUUUUGACAACGGAUCUCUUGGCUCUC